AGAGUUUGAUCCUGGCUCAGGAUGAACGCUGGCGGCGUGCUUAACACAUGCAAGUCGAACGAAGCACUUUAUUUGAUUUCCUUCGGGACUGAUUAUUUUGUGACUGAGUGGCGGACGGGUGAGUAACGCGUGGGUAACCUGCCUUGUACAGGGGGAUAACAGUUGGAAACGGCUGCUAAUACCGCAUAAGCGCACGGCAUCGCAUGAUGCAGUGUGAAAAACUCCGGUGGUAUAAGAUGGACCCGCGUUGGAUUAGCUAGUUGGUGGGGUAACGGCCCACCAAGGCGACGAUCCAUAGCCGACCUGAGAGGGUGACCGGCCACAUUGGGACUGAGACACGGCCCAAACUCCUACGGGAGGCAGCAGUGGGGAAUCUUGCGCAAUGGGGGGAACCCUGACGCAGCGACGCCGCGUGCGGGACGGAGGCCUUCGGGACGUAAACCGCUUUCAGCAGGGAAGAGUCAAGACUGUACCUGCAGAAGAAGCCCCGGCUAACUACGUGCCAGCAGCCGCGGUAAUACGUAGGGGGCGAGCGUUAUCCGGAUUCAUUGGGCGUAAAGCGCGCGUAGGCGGCCCGGCAGGCCGGGGGUCGAAGCGGGGGGCUCAACCCCCCGAAGCCCCCGGAACCUCCGCGGCUUGGGUCCGGUAGGGGAGGGUGGAACACCCGGUGUAGCGGUGGAAUGCGCAGAUAUCGGGUGGAACACCGGUGGCGAAGGCGGCCCUCUGGGCCGAGACCGACGCUGAGGCGCGAAAGCUGGGGGAGCGAACAGGAUUAGAUACCCUGGUAGUCCCAGCCGUAAACGAUGGAACGCUAGGGGUGGGGGGACGGUCCCCCCGUACCACAGCCAACGCAUUAAGCGUCCCCGCCUGGGGAGUACGGCCGCAAGGCUAAAACUCAAAGGAAUUGACGGGGGCCCGCACACGCAGCGGAGCAUGUGGCUUGAUUAGAAGCAACGCGAAGAACCUUACCAGGGCUUGACAUGUGGGUGGAGCGGGGGAGACCCCGUGGCCGAGAGGAGUCCAUACAGGUGGUGCAUGGCUGUCGUCAAGCUCGUGUCGUGAGAUGUUGGGUUAAGUCCCGCAACGAGCGCAACCCCCUGCCGCGUGUCGCCAUUGGGUGAUGCCGGGAACCCACGCGGGACCGCCGCCGUCAAGGCGGAGGAGGGCGGGGACGAUGUCAAGUCAUCAUGCCCCUUAUGCCCUGGGCUGCACACGUGCUACAAUGGCCGGUACAGAGGGAUGCCACCCCGCGAGGGGGAGCGGAUCCCGGAAAGCCGGCCCCAGUUCGGAUUGGGGGCUGCAACCCGCCCCCAUGAAGUCGGAGUUGCUAGUAAUCGCGGAUCAGCAUGCCGCGGUGAAUGCGUUCCCGGGCCUUGUACUCACCGCCCGUCA
rnacentral:rRNA from 1 species